rnacentral:rRNA from 1 species
UUAAUUGAAGAGUUUGAUCAUGGCUCAGAUUGAACGCUGGCGGCAGGCCUAACACAUGCAAGUCGAGCGGCAGCACAGAGGAACUUGUUCCUUGGGUGGCGAGCGGCGGA